rnacentral:lncRNA from 1 species
CCACAUCAGAAGACAUUUUCUAUGAUCCGAAAAGGGCUUUGAUUAGCCUGGAGGUUUAGCAGAAGGAGGAGAGGCCAAUUUAAAGGCACAGAAAGGUCUGAAAGAAGUGAAGAAGAAACAUGAAGUUCAAGGUGGGAGAUGUCGAUGGACAUCCCCCAAAUGUUUGCUUCUUGGUUUUACGCUUCUUACCUUCCUUGCCCUGCCCUGACUUUUGGUUGACAACCGCAUGGUUGAUUUUAUGAAUUAGUAAAUGAAAUUAUGAGUGUCCUUCUUCCCCAUUUAUUUUCCAAAUUUAGUAGAAAACGCGUCAUCAGUGAAUGGUUGAAUGGUUGAUAUCAGAAGCCAAUAAUUUGUUCUUCAAGUUUGGCAUUUUCUAAAUUUAUGAUAUUUUUUAUGGUAUUAAUUAAAAGAUAUUUUUCAUGGUGAUAAUUAAAAGAUAUUUUUGGAAAGAUGACUUCCAAUUAUAUUCCUUUACAAAUUUGAAAAUAUUUUUUGAAUUAAUAUAUUACUAUAUUUAUUAAAUUCCCAUCAAAGAAGCCAUGUUGCUACAAUUUUUUUGGCUAUUCUAUCUAGCUACAAUUGAUACUAAUGGGACAAUCUUUUGAUGCCUUCCCAUGUUUCAAAGCUCAUAAAUCAUUCCCACUUUCAAUAUACGUUUGUGUGGAAUGUCAAACACCUUCUCUGUCUGUCUCAAAUUUUUCUUCAAGAUAUUGUAGCCAACAUUUAUCAAAACCCUCUUUCCAAAUCUGGAGCCCUUAUCUGCCAUCACCUCAGUCUCACCGAUCAAGUGCACUACACCCACUUGUGCCGCGCUAUCAAUUACUUCAAUAUCCUUCUUAACAUCCUGUUGAUGUCUUUUUUCAUCUAUUUGCUUUGAUUCUUCUCUCUCGUUCUCACCAUUAAUCAACCCAUCUUGCAGCUCUCCAGAAACUAUGUCUCCACUAUUGUGUGUUAAUGUCACGGUCAUCAUUAUCUCUCCUCUUAUGAACUCCUUCAAUCUUUCAACCAGCAAUCUCUCAAAAGGCUCUUCCUCAAAACGCACAUCGGUGUACCCAUACCUCACCACACAUCGGAACACAUAAAUAUCAUUUGGUUCUACCCUGCGGAAGAGGAAUCGUUCCUCCACUGGAACCUUGCUUAUGGGGAGAGACUUGAUUGAGACGAAAACAAGAACUGAAUGCAAUGCAGGCACAUUUUCCAUGUAAUGCUUGAAGAUGGGCGGGAUGCCAUGAACAAGCUCAGAGUAGAAGAUGGCCAAUCCUGGUAUUCUACUAAAGUUUGUGCUCACUACUAAUUCCUUCACCACCUCAGGAGAAAUCUUGUGAUCCAGAUCAUAAUAGUAUUUCCUCCGGUACACAUCAUUCCAAAUGUACAUUAUGGUCAUCAGAACUAAGGCAAAGGCCAAGGGUAGAUACCCUCCUUGAUCAAACUUGUAGAGGACUGAACUUAGAUACAGAAGCUCAAUGCUACCAAUGACCACAACAUAUGAGAUCACAAGUAGGAUAUGGGUUUUCCAUAUCAUGAUCAUCACAAGAACCAGAAAUAAUGAGGUGAGGGUCAUCACGAACACCACUGCAAUCCCUACACCAACAAAGACUUGCAAUCAUGAUCAUUUUGAAACAUCACUAAGCUCGAGAAAAGCUGAAAAAUGAAAAUAUGAAAGAAGAUGUGGGUAGAUUACCAUAUGCAUUUCCAAUCUUUGUGGUAGUCUUAAACCCUGCAGUGACCCCUACACAAGCCAGCAUGAGAAGGUAAUUGACCUCAGGAAUGUACACUUGCCCUUCAUACUUAGUCGAUGUAUGCAUAAUCUUCACUCGAGGAAAGCACCCUAGUGAGAGAGACUGCUGGAUAAUGGAGAAAGUCCCAGAUAUCAUAGCUUGACUGGCAAUGAUCGCCGCUGACACAGCCACAACAAACAUCGGCCAGUACAGACCAUCUGCACCAGAGAAACCCCACCUUAACCAAUAAAAAAACUAACAAGAAGACAGAAAACAAACUCUAAAGCCAGAAUGCUUACGUGGUAUGGACUUGAAGAAAAGGUCAGCAACAUCCUGAUGGUGUUUCCGGAGAAAAGAGGCUUGUCCAGUAUAUGCCAAUACAAGAGCUGGGUAUGUGACAGCGCACAUACUUAUUUGAAUUGAUCGAACUGUGAAGUGGCCAACAUCAGCAAACAGCGCCUCCGUCCCUGCAUUUUCCCGAAAACAAUCUGAGAAAUUUCUCAAGUUAAUGAUGGAGGAGAAUUGAUUAAUGAUCCACAUCCAAACCUGUUAUGGAGAGGACGGCCCCACCAAGGGAAAUCCAGGCUUGUUUCUUGUUCCUUCUGAAGUAAUCGAUGAUGUACUUGGGAUUAAUGGCUUUAACAACUGUUGGAUCAAACUUGAUGAAGUUGUAGACCCCAAUGCCGCUAAUUAACGCGAACCAAACACAGAUUAUUGGAGCAAAACUGUAUCCAACUUUGUCAGUUCCAAAUCUUUGAACCAUGAAAAGACAUACCAAGAUGCCUACUGACAUCCAAACAAUCCUAUCUGUGUCCAAGAAAAAAUUUAUUUGAGUUAGAAUCAUUAUUUAAAUAAAAUUAUAAGAAAUGUAAGAAAUAAAAUUUAUUUACUUUUUUCAACUGAGGAAAAAAAUAAAAAAUAAAAUAAUAAUAAAGAAAGAAUGGUUAAUAAUUUAUUGUAUAUAAUAAUAAUAAUAAUAAUAAUAAUAUGAUUACAUAUAACCAUUUUUUUUAAAAAAAAUUAUGAUGAUGGGAAAUUUUUAUUGUAUUUAAUAAUUUAAACUUUUACCUUUUCAUCAGUCAUGAUUAAGAGGACAAAUCAAAAUAUUAUUAAGAAUAAUUAUACGAGGAUGUUAUUGUAAGUUGAAAGGAUUAUUUUAAAUUUGUCAACAGUGCAAACCCAUUAUUUUAUUUAUUUUCUUUUUCCUUAAAGAGGGUAAAUAUUCCAAGUUAAUAAGCCAUUGGAUUCAACACUUUUUUCUACACUUUACUAGUCAAAAUUGGACAAUCUGAUUUUUUUAUCAAUUAAUUUGGUUCAAUUCAAUUUUUUUGUAAUUAAAAGGAAUAAAAUAAUUAUAGAUUUACAAAUCUUUAAAAAAAAAAAAAUGACCUACAAAAAUACCAUUCCAUUUUUUUUUGAAAAAAUAAUUUUUUUUAAAAAAAAUUAUAUAAAAAUUAUCCAAAUGUUAAAUAAAAAAAUUAUUUUAGUAGUUGAUUUUAAAAGUUGAGAAAGAUUACCUUGUGUCAUUGAAUCUGUGACUUCCUUGAUACCACCCACAGCAGAUAAAACUAUAACAUGCAAAGUCAAAUGUCAAAUAUAUAUACAAUAAAAGACUGAAGGACAAAACUCAUUUUCUUUGUCAACAAAAAUUAAUAAUAAAGAAGAAAGUUGAAUGCAUAUUCAACCAUAUACGUAUAUCUACUUAAAUUAGUCAUAAGUAAUUUUCAAUGAUAAUAAAAGAUAACUUUAGAAAAAGCUAAGCACAAGAUGUUUUUUGGCAACAAAAAUUUGUAAAAGGAAAAGACAUUUAUUAUGGAAGAAAAAAACCUUUUAAUCUCAAAUUAACUAAAAAAGGAUGAUGUAAAUUAUGUUUGUUUUUUAUUUUCAGAGUAAGAAAAGCAUUUCCAAAAAAUGGUAGUGUGAUGUGGUUUUUAUUUUCCAAAGUAAGAAAAGUAUUUCCAAAAAAAAUGAUAUUGUGACAUGGUUUUUAUAUGAUUUUUACUUUCCAAAGUAAGAAAAGUAUUUCCAAAAAAUGGUAGUGUGAUAUGGUUUUUACUUUCUAAAGUAAGAAAAGUAUUUUCAAAAAAUAUAUGUGAAAACAAAGAUGAAAGGGAAAAAAAAAAUCCCUUUUAAUAAAUGCAUAAGGAAAAAUAAAGGUGUAUGACAUUAUGUCAUUAAAUUUGUAUGUAAAUGGAAAGAAGGAUAAAAACUAAGCUAACCUGAGAUGCAAGGAGUGAGGACACCAUCACCAAUCACCAUGGAAGUGCCAAGCAUUGUGGCAAACAAUAGAAAGAACUUUGCAGAGUUGCUCUUCUCUAGCUUGGACUUAAGCUUUGAUGCCAUCUGCAGUCUUUUACUAGGCAGCUCCAACCGGAAAUUGGAGACUUCUCUGUCCUCAGCUUGUUGACUAGGGAUCAACCCCACCUUGGCAUAUCGGCAUAUAAGAGAAUACAAAGCAAAUGUCCCUCCUGAAAAUUAUCCAUGGUGUUUAAAAGAAGUGUAUUCUAGGCUUAAUGAGCUAUUUUCCUCUUUUUUUGAGUUAUAAUGUGAACCACAUAUUUAGAGUUGAAAAGGCGGCAAGGAUUUAAAAAAAAAAAAGAUUCAUUGGAUUGAGUGCACAAUUGUUGAUCAUUAAUUGAUCAACCAGAUACGAGGGACCCCAGUAGGAGCCUGCAUGGUUAUUUUCAAGGGCAAGUAUCACAGUUUGAUACAUCAAAGUUGGCCUUCAAUGGUGUUUUUCACUCAUCUCAUCUAUGAUCAAGACUAGAAAAAAAUGGCAAAAAUAAAAAUAAAAAUCAAGAAAUUAAUAAACCAUUUUGCCUUGUUGGUAUGGAAAAGUCUUAAUAUGUGGCAUAUUUCUAAAAAGAAAAGAUGAUGGGUUCAUGCCAUAAAAGAAAAGAUAGAAAAAGAAGAUCACAGUACGAUACAUAUAAAUUAAAAUCAAAGGUCGUUAAUGAUCAUGAGCUCUCACCAUCGCCAUUAUCAGUGGCCUUCAACACAGUCAAGACGUACUUGAAGAGAGGGAUGAGGGUGAGGGUGUAGAAGAUGAUAGAAAGAACCCCCAGAAUGUCAUCAUUAUGUUUGACACCAUCAGUGAAAGUGCUUGCAUACACGUACAACGGCGAAGUUCCAAUGUCCCCAUACACUAUUCCAAGGCUCUGAAACGCCAGGUGCAGUAUCACAGACCAGUCCUUCGUAUCCUUCAAAACAGAAAUUCAAAAAAAAAAAAAAAAAAAAUCAAAUCUUCUUUCUCCCAGUUGCCAUGCAUAAUAACGAGAAAAUGAUAUCAGGAAAGGGUGGGGGGUACAGACCUUGGAGCCAUGGUGGCUGCGACCAUGUACAGUCCCGGACUCCAUGUCUAGGGAGUCCAUACGACGCAGUUUUCCCCAUGAGAGUUUCUUUGAUUUGAGGCCUUGAUCAUGGGUGUCGUCCGGGCUGUUUACCACAUCAGAAGACAUUUUCUAUGAUCUGAAAAGGGCUUUGAUUAGACCGGAGCGUUUGCAGAAGGUGCAGAGGCCAAUUUAAAGGCACAGAAAGGUCUGAAAACCGCGUGGUUUGAUUUUAUGAAUAAUGAAUGAGUAAACGAGAUUCCGAGAGUGUUUUUUUACCAUUUAUUUUUCAGAUUUAUUGGAAAACGCGUUAUCAGUAAAUAAACUUCCCCCAUAUUAGUCGGAUGGUUGAUAUCAGACCUCUUCUUGCCUUUUCUAAAUUUAUGAUAUUAAUUAAUAUUUACUUUUUGAAGAUACGACUUCUUAUUAUAUUCCUUUACAAAUUUGAAAAUAUUUUUUGAAUUAGUAUAUUACUAAAAAUAUUUUUUAAUUAAUAUAUAUACUUAUAUAUAUUUUUUAAAUCCUCAUGCCUACAAUAAAAAUGAUAUAUCUUCAUGUUUAAAAACCUUUUUCUAUUCUUACGUUUUAAGUGCAAAAACAAUUUUAAUAUUUUUAAUAUUUAAAUAUAAAAAAAUUCAAAUGUUAAAAAGAUUAAAAAAAAACGUUUUUUAAAAUCACUAUGAUUCUAUUUUUUUUUUUACUUUGUUUUCCAUUUUAAAAAUAAAAAUAAACAUUACAAUAAUUCUUUUUUUAAUAAUUAAGUUGAGAAAAAUAUUACAUUUAUAAUUUCUUUCAUCAUUAUUUUUUUUCUAUCAUCACAUUCAUUUAAUUAAUAAAAUUAGAUUUAAUUAAAUUAAAAAAUAAUAAUGAUUUUAAAAAAUAUUUUAAAUCUUUUGUAGUUGGCUAUAUUUAACUGCACAUUAAUAGAUACCCAAAAUUUAUUAUUUAAAAAAAGGUAAUAAAUUAGAGACAACGACAGCGCAACCCUACUCUUGGCUGUGGAAAGGACCAUGUACUCACGUGAUAGAAAGUUGAGAGGUGUCCAACAAAAGACGCGAGUGAAUUGUCCACAUGCAUGGGGGCGAGUAGAACUUUCCAAUGGGGUGAAAAUUCUAAAGCAUCACGUUCAGAUCGGUCAUAGCCACGUGUUACACGCAUUCUUUCUGCAUCAUCACAUAUCACAGGAAGCCUAUCACAGGUUGACCCUAAGACGGAUUGGGUAUAUUCAUGGGCCUUGUUUGGAAAAUAUAAUAUCAAAAAAAUCACAGCAAUCUGAGUUUAAAAAAUAUAAAUUUAAGUAGCUUUUUAAAAAUAAUUAGGAUCUUAACAUUUUAUACACUUUGGUGUACAACCUUUAUCUUUAAUAAUUCAGAUACUACUUUUUAAUGGGAUAAGUUUUAUCUAUUAUAAUUUUAAGUAUCAUCUAUUUUAUGAUUAAAAAAAAGUUAAAUGAACACAAUAGAUAAAGUGAUAAAAAAAAAAAGGACCAUGAAAUGAAACUUCUCCAUAUAAGAAGAUGCAUAAAAAAUAAUAAUUAAAAAGAUAAAAUUAUUGAUCUCUCUCCUCCCCUUCCUAAAAGAGGAAAUUGAUUAUUGUUCUUUUACAUUAUAAAGAUAGAAUUCUUGUCAGAUUUAUGAACAAAUAUAAUAUCUAAUUUUUUUUUCAUAAUGGAAAAGGCGCUCUCUCUCUCAUCCAAAGAAGAGAACAUUGACUAUUGCUCCUUUACAUUCAUAACGAUAGAAUUCUUUAGAAUUCAUUAACUAAUAUAAUGUCUAAUUCUUUUCCAAAAUGGAAAUGGUGGAUUGAAACGUUACCCUACCAAUGCCAAAACUAUCAAAUAAAAUAUGCCUCUUUUUCUCUCUUUCUCAUCCCCUUACUAGAAAAGGAAACUAGUUAUUGCUCUUUUGCAUUAUGGAGAUAAAAUUCUUAUCAAAUUCAUGAACUAACAUAAUGUCUAAUUCCUUUCUGUAAUGAAAAAGGCGCUCUCUCUCUUUCAUCCAAAGAAAAGAACAUUGGUUAUUACUCCUUUACAUUCAUAGAGAUAGAAUUCUUCAGAAUUCAUUAACUAAUAUAAUGUCUAAUUCUUUUCCAAAAUGGAAAUGGUGAAUUGAAACGUUACCUUGCCAAUGCCAAAACCGUCAAAUAAAAUACGCCUCUUUUUCUCUCUUUCUCAUCCCCUUGCUAGAAGAGGAAAUUGGUUAUUGCUCUUUUAUAUCAUAGAGAUAGAAUUCGUGUUGGAUUCAUAAACUAACAUAAUGUCUAAUUCCUUUCAAUAAUACGUGUCAACAGGGGAAUAUCAUGGACGAAUGAUAAAUGUGCACGUUUAUGUGUUUUUGUUUGAUGUCAGAAACUUAUUAGUCAUCUAAUACAAAGAAGAAAUGGUCACAACCUAAUGCAAUCUACGUGCCAAACCUAGAAACCUGGAAAUUGUAAACGUACAAACCUUGAAAUUCAGAACUUCCCAGAUUAUUAGGAAAAUAAAUUACUGGCAAACCUGUAUUGAAGGGACUUCUUGAAUGCUAUCCUCACUGUCAACCAAACUUUAUCGCUGAUAUCUGUUUCAUGUCACAACCAGCUACACCAAAAUGAAAGUGACUUCUUCAUUAGCACUGCAUUCCAUCACAAUAAAAAUUACAGCGUCCUCAAGAUUUUCUUUGACAAUUUACACAAUCUGCACCAUGCUGAGGGGAAGAAUGGUGCAUACAGUGGACAAAAACCUAUUGCCAAAAUUUUUGUGACUUCAUAAUCUUUUCCAUCCCUUGUUUGCUGGACCAGAAAAAUAUAAGUGUUUGCAUAUACGAUCUCUUAAUCAUAGCUUCCAGUUCCAUUCAAAGUUCAAUUGUUGCAAAAUGACCUUACUUGGUUUUGGCAUUUCUUUGGAGCCUGUCAAAAAUUGGAUUUUCUACCAGUUCUUUAGCUGAAGGCCGCCAAACUGGAUUUGGAUCCAGCAUUGCCUGGUAGGAUUAUAUAGGUGCUCUACAAAUGAAAUGAGUAUUUAUCUGGCACAUUAGGUCUUUGCCAUAAAAGAAAUUAGAACAGACAAUUGAUUUUGGGCCUUUGGUUUUGUUCUGCUACUUUCGGUAGCAGUUGUCCAAAAUCAUCCUCUUACUUCGACUCUCAGCAUACUCUCUUCUAUGGGUCGCUCCAGUAUAUAUUAGGUCUUUGUCAUAAAACAAAAUUAGCUUGGUCGGUUGGUUUUAGGCUUUUGUCUUUGUUUUCCUACUUUAGGCAGUGGUUGUCCAACAUCAUCCUCUUGACUCUUGGCAUACUCUCUUCUAUGGGUCAUUCUUCUAAUCUGUUCUCUACAUGUACCAUAUGUUACACCAUGUCUAAGGAGUCCAUACGACGUAGUUCUCCCCAUGAGAGUUUCUUUGAUUUGAGGCCUUGAUCAUGGGUCUCGUCAGGGCUGUUUACCACAUCAGAAGACAUUUUCUAUGAUCCGAAAAGGGCUUUGAUUAGCCUGGAGGGUUAGCAGAAGGAGGAAAGGUCGAUUUAAAGGCACAGAAAGGUCUGAAAGAAGUGCAGAAGAAACGUGAAGUUCAGGGUGGGAGAUGUCGAUGGACAUCUCCCAAAUGUUUGCUUCUUGGUUUUAUGCUUCUUACCUUCUAUGCCCUGCCAUGACUUUUGGUUGACAACCGCGUGGUUGAUUUUAUGAAUUAGUAAAUGAAAUUAUGAGUGUCCUUCCCCAUUUAUUUUCCAAAUUUGUGAAUGGUUGAUAUCAGAAACCAAUAAUUUGUUCUUCAAGUUUUGAAUUUUCUAAAUUUAUAAUAUUUUUUAUGGUAUUAAUUAAAAGAUAUUUUUGGAAAUAUAACUUCCAAUU